UUUAUUUAAAAUAGAAAUCUUUUCUAACAAUAUACACUACCGUUCAAAAGUUUGGGGACAGUACAUUUUUAUUCUAUCUUUUUUUAUUCAGCAAGGAUGUGUUAAAUUGAUAAGAAGUGAUAGCAAAUAUUUAAAUUGUUAGGAAAUAUUUAUAUUUUGAAUAAAUGUUGUUCUUUUGAACUUUUUAUUCAUCAAAGAAUCCUGAAAAAAGUAUUGCAGUUUCCAAAAAAAUAAAUAAAUAAAUAAAUAAAUUUGGCAGCACAACUGUUGCAAACAUUGAUAAUCCUAAUAAUAAAUCAGCAUAUUAGAAUGAUUUCUGAAGGACCAUGUGACACUUUAUACUGGAGUAAUGGCUGAUGGAAACUCAGCUUUGCAUCACAGAAAUAAAUUCUAUUUUAAAGGAUAUUAAAAUAGAAAAAAAAAAUUUAUAUUGUAAUAACAUUUUGCAAGAUUACUGUUUUUUAUCAAAUAAAUGCAGCCUUCAUGAGCAUAAGAGACUUCUUUAAAAAACAUUACAAGUCUUAUUGAUCGCAAAACUUUUGAAUGGCAGUGUAUUUGUAAAAGCUGCAUUAUUUGGAAAUGACUUUGUUACAGUUACAACUAAAAUUUUGGCCCGUUCCUCAGACAAACCUGUAGAUUGAAUACAAUUAAAAUUGCAUCAUAUUGGACAAACUACUCCUUUAAGACAUUUGCGUGUAAUCUGCAUGAAUAAAACUAACUACAAAUACAAGCAAGUGACUUUUUCUUUAGGACAUAUGUGCAAUAUGUUUGCGUAGGAAUUUAGUGUUGUCUUCAGAGGUGUUUUUAUUAGAGCAAAAUACUAGUUUUUUUCCAAGGGAAAACAAGUGGGCUGGCUGCUAAAAGAGAAAGUGCAAAGAAAGAAAGCAAAAGUAAGCAGCGUGUAUAUAUUCAGAAAGCAGAUGCAAGGCAGUGAGCAUUAAAAGCCAAGUGUGGAACUGCUGACAAGACAUGGACACUGUAUCCAGCAAUUUCACUGCUCUGGUGGAGAAGGUCUACUCAUUCUUCUGGGGGGACAAGCAGCAGUUCAACAGCCAAUCAGAAUCAGACAGAGCCAUCAGAGAGCUGUAAUGAAAGUGACAUCCCAGUCACAAAACCUGCUGAAACAUGGGUGUCUGAGGUCCAGGAGGUUAGCAGUCCUGUACAAACCACUGUAAAUGCACAUUCAGGUCAUUAUGAUCAUCCACACAUCCCGCUUCAGUACUCAAACUCAUUCAGUGAUGCUGAUGAAACUGCUGAAGUGGACAAGAUCAACAUCAUUGUGAAAUGUGCUGGGAAAACCACGGAAGUGGACAUGUUUCCCAGGGAAAGCAUCUCAGUUUUACUAAAGGAGGCCUGUGACCGGGCAGGGAAGAAACCAGAGAAAAUGGCACUGGUUUAUGAAGGAAACUGUCUGGAUGUGAACAAGACAGUGAGCUGCUAUGGACUACGAGGAGGAACCACCGUAAAUUUGAUUCAUGCCUAGAAUCAUGUUUCUGUUUACAGUAUACCAGUACAGUACUGUACAUAAAAUAUUGUUCAAACUCAAAUAUAUUAUUAGUAGUAGUAGUUGUAGAAGUAAUAGUAGUAGUAGUAGUAGCAGUCAGUGCUCAUGGGUUAUUGUUAAAAGUAUUGCAUUGCUGUGUACAGUCUCAAAUACAUUGUAAUAUAUAAAAAAUAAAACUGACUUGCAACACUGACUCACAUAUAUGAGUUCAAUCAGACAGCAUUUUUUACUGAUAUUGGGACACUUUAUGGCUGAUAACAUAUUGAUUAUUAUACAGACAGCAAUAACCUCAACUGAUUGCCUAUGUAAACUAUGCAUAAUUAAUAUAGUGAUUACUGAAUUUGAUCCUACUGUUUUAAAUAUAUUAAAGCACUUUAAGUGUUUUUACAAUGUUUGACUCACUGUUUAAUGAUUGAAAUAUUGCCGCGGGUGCUUAAUAUGGAUUGCAAAUGGCCAAAACUUGCAUUUUGUUUUAUUAUGUUUUAUUGAGAGAUGAUGUAAAUAUUUGCGGCUGUAAAACAGAUGAAAAACUGAGAGGCUUGUGCUGCAGUUCUAUGGAUGCUUCGAGCCGGUCACGUGACUGAAAGCGAUCAAUAGCGUUCGAGUGCUGUUUGUAACGGAGCAUUUCAUUGGUUAAACAGACGGAACAGACACGCCUCUUUCACUGAACUAGCCGUCUAACUAGAGGGCAUGUUGUUCUUUUAGGUCACCGUGUUAACAGCAUUUAUUUAAAAUAGAAAUCUUUUCUAACAAUAUACACUACCGUUCAAAAGUUUGGGGUCGGUACAUUUUUAUUCUAUCUUUUUUUAUUCAGCAAGGAUGUGUUAAAUUGAUAAGAAGUGAUAGCAAAUAUUUAAAUUGUUAGGAAAUAUUUAUAUUUUGAAUAAAUGUUGUUCUUUUUGAACUUUUUAUUCAUCAAAGAAUCCUGAAAAAAGUAUUGCAGUUUCCAAAAAAAAUAAAAUAAAUAAAUAAAUAAAUUUGGCAGCACAACUGUUGCCAACAUUGAUAAUCCUAAUAAUAAAUCAGCAUAUUAGAAUGAUUUCUGAAGGACCAUGUGACACUUUAUACUGGAGUAAUGGCUGAUGGAAAUUCAGCUUUGCAUCACAGAAAUAAAUAAAUUCUAUUUUAAAGGUUAUUAAAAUAGAAAAAAAAAUAUUUUAUAUUGUAAUAACAUUUUGCAAGAUUACAGUUUUUUAAUCAAAUAAAUGCAGCCUUCAUGAGCAUAAGAGACUUCUUUAAAAAACAUUACAAGUCUUAUUGAUCGCAAAACUUUUGAAUGGCAGGGUAUUUGUAAAAGCUGCAUUAUUUGGAAAUGACUUUGUUACAGUUACAACUAAAAUUGUGGCCCGUUCCUCAGACAAACCUGUAGAUUGAAUACAAUUAAAAUUUAAAAUUGCAUCAUACUGGACAAACUACUUGUACCUUUAAAAUACUAUUUGUUUUCAAAGGGAAAGCCCGUAUGUUGGCUGGCUGCUAAAAGAGAAAGUGCAAAGAAAGAAAGCAAAAGUAAGCAGUGGUAUAUAUAUUAAGCAAAAGCAGUGAGCAUUAAAAGCCAAGUGUGGAACUGCCGACAAGACAUGGACAUUGUAUCCAGCUAUUUCACAGUUCUGGUAAGUUACUCCAAUUGAAUCUUGAAAAUUUGCUGUAUUCGUUGUACUGGAUUUAACGAUGGUAAAAUGUGUAAAACAGUGCUGAGAGUAUAUAGUGGUAGCUAAAAGCAUUAUCAGAUUAGAUAAAAAUGUUAACAUUUGACCUUUUUAUUUUAAGAUUUAUUUUGGGCCUUUAAUUUAAUAGGAUAGUGUAGAGAGCACAUGAAGCGAAGUGGCGCCGACAACAUUUGACCUUUUACUUACAAAAUAAAACAAACUUAAAGAGAUACUGAAGGAACAAAAGUCAUAACACUUUAGAUUAGGGAUCACAUAUAAACUAUUAGCCUAACUAAGAGUUUCCCUCGAUAAACUCCUAACAACUGCUUAUUGAUAUUAAUAAGGUAGUUGUUGAAUACAGUCAUCCAGAAUAAGGCAUUAAUAUGUGCUUUAUAAGUACUAAUAAACAGCCCAAAUUCUAGUAAUAUGCAUGCUUCUAAGCAACUAGUUAAUAGUGAAUAGUAUUGAAAAUAACUUAAACAUCUUCAAACUUAUAGCAAUUACAGUAUAAUAAGGAAAAAUAAACACGGGUUGCAUGCACAAGUUGCAGGAAUGUGUAGAAUUUGUACAACCGAUGUAUACAUGCAGAUUGACAACUAAAAGUUUUUAUUUAUCGUCUUCUCAAUAACAUUUUGAUAUUUACUCUGAAUACAAUGGCAACAAUGAAAACAACUAACUAGGUUAGCUGAUUGCCUUAAAAGUCCAUAGAUAUUGCCAUAAGUGCAUACUGCUGUUAAUAAGAUGUGAUGAACCUGUUUUAUACUAGAUUAGAACCCUUUUCAUUCAUAUGAAUAUUACUUUGUCUGGUAAUGUGCUUUAAAGGUGGAGAAGAUCUACUCAUUCUUCUGGGGGACAAGCAGCAGUUCAACAGCCAAUCAGAAUCAGACAGAGCCAUCAGAGAGCUGUAAUGAAAGUAAGAUAAACAUCCAGCUUAUCCAGUUCAUCCACUUGUAACUCAUUAUAUUUAGUGGUUGUUUUGUACAUAUGUAACUGGGCGACAGAGACAUGAGACAUGCGGAUCCAUCUGCAUGCUUCUAUUUAAAGGCGUGCUCAUGAAACAGACACGAGUCGAUACACAGCAAACAGUAAUAGAAGAGGCAAGGUGAAGAGUAAUCAAAAGUGGGUCUGAGAUCAGGCGAACAAAGUCCAGAGGGCUAGGCAAAAGAAUGCAAGACAGGCAAUCAGGCACAAAACUAGACGUGCCUUGACUAGAGCUAGGAACUAGACAAUAAUAAACACCUUUUGAUCUUUUGAUUUUGAAUAGUAGUGUAUGAAAUCGUUCUAUAAUUUAUUGCAGUCUGAAACUUUAAUAUAAUAUUGAAGUUAGUCAGCAUGGAAUUGUGAUUGACUCUUUACUUUCUUAGUACUCAUCGUCUUACUGUGCACGAAUCAUCAGGGUAUUUUAAUACAUAAAACAACUUGCUCUUUUCAGGUGACAUCCCAGUCACAAAACCUGCUGAAACAUGGGUGUCUGAGGUCCAGGAGGUUAGCAGUCCUGUACAAACCACUGUAAAUGCACAUUCAGGUCAUUAUGGUAUGAAACAUCUACUUUAUAACUCUA
ensembl:lncRNA